rnacentral:rRNA from 1 species
CCUACGGGAGGCAGCAGUGAGGAAUAUUUGUCAAUGGGCGCUAGCCUGAACCAGCCAAGUAGCGUGAAGGAUGACUGCCCUAUGGGUUGUAAACUUCUUUUAUAUGGGAAUAAAGUGCAGUAUGUAUACUGCUUUGCAUGUACCUUCUGAAUAAGGAUCGGCUAACUCCGUGCCAGCAGCCGCGGUAAUACGGAGGAUUCGAGCGUUAUCCGGAUUGAUUGGGUUUAAAGGGAGCGUAGGCGGGUUGUUAAGUCAGUUGUGAAAGUUUGCGGCUCAACCGUAAAAUUGCAGUUGAUACUGGCAGCCUUGAGUGCAGUAGAGGUAGGCGGAAUUCGUGGUGUAGCGGUGAAAUGCUUAGAUAUCACGAAGAACUCCGAUUGCGAAGGCAGCCUGCUGGACUGUAACUGACGCUGAUGCUCGAAAGUGUGGGUAUCAAACAGGAUUAGAUACCCCUGUAGUC